UACGGAGGGUGCAAGCGUUAUCCGGAUUCACUGGGUUUAAAGGGUGCGUAGGUGGGCAAGUAAGUCAGUGGUGAAAUCUCCGGGCUUAACCCGGAAACUGCCAUUGAUACUAUUUGUCUUGAAUACUGUGGAGGUCAGCGGAAUAUGUCAUGUAGCGGUGAAAUGCUUAGAUAUGACAUAGAACACCGAUUGCGAAGGCAGCUUACUACACGAUCAUUGACACUGAGGCACGAAAGCGUGGGGAGCAAACAGG
rnacentral:rRNA from 1 species